AUUGAACGCUGGCGGCAGGCCUAACACAUGCAAGUCGAACGGUAACAGGAAGAAGCUUGCUUCUUUGCUGACGAGUGGCGGGUGGGUGAGUAAUGUCUGGGAAACUGCCUGAUGGAGGGGGAUAACUACUGGAAACGGUAGCUAAUACCGCAUAACGUCGCAAGACCAAAGAGGGGGACCUUCGGGCCUCUUGCCAUCGGAUGUGCCCAGAUGGGAUUAGCUAGUAGGUGGGGUAACGGCUCACCUAGGCGACGAUCCCUAGCUGGUCUGAGAGGAUGACCAGCCACACUGGAACUGAGACACGGUCCAGACUCCUACGGGAGGCAGCAGUGGGGAAUAUUGCACAAUGGGCGCAAGCCUGAUGCAGCCAUGCCGCGUGUAUGAAGAAGGCCUUCGGGUUGUAAAGUACUUUCAGCGGGGAGGAAGGGAGUAAAGUUAAUACCUUUGCUCAUUGACGUUACCCGCAGAAGAAGCACCGGCUAACUCCGUG
rnacentral:rRNA from 1 species